AACGCACAUUGCACCCUUUGGCAUUCCGAGGGGUAUGUCUGUUCGAGCGUCAUUUAUACCUCAAGCCCUAGGCUUGGUGAUGGGCAAUGCCAGCUAUAAGGCAUGCCUGAAAAUCAGAGGCAGUGAAGCCUGAGUGCGGAAGCGUAGUGAUAAUUUUAUAACCGCUUAGGCCUCAGGUGAAGCUUGCAGAACACCAAACAAUGUUUUUGACCUCGGAUCGGGUAGGGAUACCCGCUGAACUUAA
rnacentral:misc_RNA from 1 species